rnacentral:rRNA from 1 species
CCUACGGGGGGCUGCAGUGGGGAAUAUUGCACAAUGGGCGAAAGCCUGAUGCAGCGACGCCGCGUGAGUGAAGAAGUAUUUCGGUAUGUAAAGCUCUAUCAGCAGGGAAGAUAAUGACGGUACCUGACUAAGAAGCCCCGGCUAACUACGUGCCAGCAGCCGCGGUAAUACGUAGGGGGCAAGCGUUAUCCGGAUUUACUGGGUGUAAAGGGAGCGUAGACGGCAUGGCAAGUCUGAAGUGAAAACCCAGGGCUCAACCCUGGGACUGCUUUGGAAACUGUCAAGCUAGAGUGCAGGAGAGGUAAGUGGAAUUCCUAGUGUAGCGGUGAAAUGCGUAGAUAUUAGGAGGAACACCAGUGGCGAAGGCGGCUUACUGGACUGUAACUGACGUUGAGGCUCGAAAGCGUGGGGAGCAAACAGGAUUAGAUACCCCUGUAGUC